AGUGAACGCUGGCGGCAGGCCUAACACAUGCAAGUCGAACGGCAGCACAGUCCCGCAAGGGAUGGGUGGCGAGUGGCGGACGGGUGAGGAAUACAUCGGGAUCUACCUUGUCGUGGGGGAUAACGUAGGGAAACUUACGCUAAUACCGCAUACGACCUACGGGUGAAAGCGGCGGACCGCAAGGCGUCGCGCGAUUGGAUGAGCCGAUGUCCGAUUAGCUAGUUGGCGGGGUAAAGGCCCACCAAGGCGACGAUCGGUAGCUGGUCUGAGAGGAUGAUCAGCCACACUGGAACUGAGACACGGUCCAGCCUCCUACGGGAGGCAGCAGUGGGGAAUAUUGGACAAUGGGCGCAAGCCUGAUCCAGCCAUGCCGCGUGUGUGAAGAAGGCCUUCGGGUUGUAAAGCACUUUUGUUGGGGAAGAAAAGAUUCCGGUUAAUACCCGGGGUUUCUGACGGUACCCAAAGAAUAAGCACCGGCUAACUUCGUGCCAGCCGCCGCGGUAACAC
rnacentral:rRNA from 1 species